rnacentral:rRNA from 1 species
ACUGAGACACGGCCCAGACUCCUACGGGAGGCAGCAGUGGGGAAUAUUGCACAAUGGGGGAAACCCUGAUGCAGCGACGCCGCGUGAGUGAAGAAGUAUUUCGGUAUGUAAAGCUCUAUCAGCAGGGAAGAGAAUGACGGUACCUGAGUAAGAAGCCCCGGCUAACUACGUGCCAGCAGCCGCGGUAAUACGUAGGGGGCAAGCGUUAUCCGGAUUUACUGGGUGUAAAGGGAGCGUAGACGGCGAAGAAAGUCUGAAGUGAAAGCCCGCGGCUCAACCGCGGAACUGCUUUGGAAACUUUUUUGCUGGAGUACCGGAGAGGUAAGCGGAAUUCCUAGUGUAGCGGUGAAAUGCGUAGAUAUUAGGAGGAACACCAGUGGCGAAGGCGGCUUACUGGACGGUAACUGACGUUGAGGCUCGAAAGCGUGGGGAGCAAACAGGAUUAGAUACCCUGGUAGUCCACGCGGUAAACGAUGAAUGCUAGGUGUUGGUGGACAAAGUCCAUCG